AACGAACGCUGGCGGCAGGCCUAACACAUGCAAGUCGAACGCUGCAGCAAUGCAGAGUGGCAGACGGGUGAGUAACGCGUGGGCACCUUCCCAGUGGUACGGAAUAGCCCAGGGAAACUUGGGGUAAUACCGUAUAAGCCCCAUGGGGGAAAGAUUUAUCGCCAUUGGAUGGGCCCGCGUCGGAUUAGCUAGUUGGUGAGGUAACGGCUCACCAAGGCGACGAUCCGUAGCUGGUUUGAGAGAAUGACCAGCCACACUGGGACCGAGACACGGCCCAGACUCCUACGGGAGGCAGCAGUGGGGAAUUUUGGACAAUGGGCGAAAGCCUGAUCCAGCCAUGCCGCGUGAGUGACGAAGGCCUUAGGGUUGUAAAGCUCUUUUGGCGGGGACGAUAAUGACGGUACCCGCAGAAGAAGUCCCGGCUAACUUCGUGCCAGCCGCCGCCGUAA
rnacentral:rRNA from 1 species